rnacentral:rRNA from 1 species
GACGAACGCUGGCGGCGUGCCUAAUACAUGCAAGUCGAACGAACUCUGGUAUCGAUUGGUGCUUGCAUCAUGAUUUACAUUUGAGUGAGUGGCGAACUGGUGAGUAACACGUGGGAAACCUGCCCAGAAGCGGGGGAUAACACCUGGAAACAGAUGCUAAUACCGCAUAACAACUUGGACCGCAUGGUCCGAGUUUGAAAGAUGGCUUCGGCUAUCACUUUUGGAUGGUCCCGCGGCGUAUUAGCUAGAUGGUGAGGUAACGGCUCACCAUGGCAAUGAUACGUAGCCGACCUGAGAGGGUAAUCGGCCACAUUGGGACUGAGACACGGCCCAAACUCCUACGGGAGGCAGCAGUAGGGAAUCUUCCACAAUGGACGAAAGUCUGAUGGAGCAACGCCGCGUGAGUGAAGAAGGGUUUCGGCUCGUAAAACUCUGUUGUUAAAGAAGAACAUAUCUGAGAGUAACUGUUCAGGUAUUGACGGUAUUUAACCAGAAAGCCACGGCUAACUACGUGCCAGCCGCCGCAGUAA